rnacentral:lncRNA from 1 species
GAGACACCCAGCGACGACGAGGUUGUCAUGGUGCCGCGGGGCCGUGCUCGCGCAUGCGCCACCUGACCCACAGGCCGGUCGUGGAGCUGCGACCCCGGCCCUAGGGCAGUCCAGAUGAAAAGAGUACCAAUGAAUCUGCCUCCAGCUGAAUAAACCAUGGAGAGGAAAAACCCAUCCAGAGAGAGCCCCAGAAGACUCUCUGCCAAAGUAGGCAAAGGCACAGAGAUGAAGAAAGUGGCUCGUCAGCUUGGGAUGGCUGCUGCUGAGUCAGACAAGGACUCUGGCUUUUCAGGUUAAAAAUAUCUUAUCCUUCCUCUGUUUUGUGAGUGAAUGCUUUGCGUGAAAAAUUUCCUCCCCAAAACUCAUUUAUGUGAUAAGGAUGGGAUGCUUUCACACACAGGAUAAAUACUUACCUGCUUUAAAAUGGUAAUUCUGAUGCCAUAUGUCAGGGUACCCAUCAAAGUCACCACAGGGUUAGUUCUGAAAGAAUUAUUUAACAUCUUUUUUCAACUUAGACUCUGAAUCUUACACUUCCAAC